rnacentral:rRNA from 1 species
CAGUCGCCACGGUAAUACGAAGGGUGCAAGCGUUAAUCGGAAUUACUGGGCGUAAAGCGUGCGUAGGCGGUGAGUUAAGUCUGCUGUGAAAUCCCCGGGCUCAACCUGGGAAUGGCAGUGGAUACUGGCUCGCUAGAGUGUGUCAGAGGAUGGUGGAAUUCCCGGUGUUGCGGUGAAAUGCGUAGAGAUCGGGAGGAACAUCAGUGGCGAAGGCGGCCAUCUGGGACAACACUGACGCUGAGGCACGAAAGCGUGGGGAGCAAACAGGAUUAGAGACCCGUGUAGUCCCUGUCUCUUAUAA